rnacentral:rRNA from 1 species
UACGUAGGUGGCAAGCGUUGUCCGGAUUUAUUGGGUUUAAAGGGUGCGUAGGCGGCUUGAUAAGUCAGUGGUGAAAGCCGAUCGCUCAACGAUCGAACUGCCAUUGAUACUACCAGGCUUGAGUAUAGAUGAGGUAGGCGGAAUUGACAGUGUAGCGGUGAAAUGCAUAGAUAUUGUCAAGAACACCAAUUGCGAAGGCAGCUUACUAAGUUAUAACUGACGCUGAGGCACGAAAGUGCGGGGAUCAAACAGG